UACGUAGGGUGCGAGCGUUGUCCGGAAUUACUGGGCGUAAAGAGCUCGUAGGUGGUUUGUCGCGUCGUCUGUGAAAUUCCGGGGCUUAACCUCGGGCGUGCAGGCGAUACGGGCAAUACUUGAGUGCUGUAGGGGAGACUGGAAUUCCUGGUGUAGCGGUGAAAUGCGCAGAUAUCAGGAGGAACACCAAUGGCGAAGGCAGGUCUCUGGGCAGUCACUGACGCUGAGGAGCGAAAGCAUGGGUAGCGAACAGGAUUA
rnacentral:rRNA from 1 species